GACGAACGCUGGCGGCAUGCCUAAUACAUGCAAGUCGAACGCUGAAGCACUCUGCUUGCAGAGUGCGGAUGAGUGGCGAACGGGUGAGUAACACGUGGGGAAUCUGCCUAGGAGUGGGGGAUAACAUUCGGAAACGGAUGCUAAUACCGCAUAUCUUCUUAGACCGCAUGGUCUAUGGAUGAAAGACGGCUUUGCUGUCGCUCUUAGAUGAUCCCGCGGCGUAUUAGUUAGUUGGUGGGGUAAAGGCCUACCAAGACAAUGAUACGUAGCCGACCUGAGAGGGUGAUCGGCCACACUGGGACUGAGACACGGCCCAGACUCCUACGGGAGGCAGCAGUGGGGAAUAUUGCACAAUGGGCGCAAGCCUGAUGCAGCAACGCCGCGUGGAGGAAGACGGUUUUCGGAUUGUAAACCUCUGUUCUUAGUAGAAG
rnacentral:rRNA from 1 species